GACAGAGGUGCCGAGCGUUAGGCGGAAUCACUGGGCUUAAAGCGUGUGUAGGUGGAUGCCUAAGUACCUUGUGAAAUCCCACGGCUUAACCGUGGAACUGCUUGGUAUACUGGGUGUCUUGAGCCAGCUAGGGGGCUACCGGAACAAAUGGUGGAGCGGUGAAAUGCGUAGAUAUCGUUUGGAACGCCAAUGGUGAAAACAGGUCGCUGGGGAUGAGCUGACGCUGAGACACGAAAGCCAGGGGAGCAAACGGG
rnacentral:rRNA from 1 species